GNNCNNNGNNNGGUGACCAGCGGAGGGAUCAUUACCGAGUUAUACAACUCAUCAACCCUGUGAACAUACCUAAAACGUUGCUUCGGCGGGAACAGACGGCCCUGUAACAACGGGCCGCCCCCGCCAGAGGACCCCUAACUCUGUUUUUAUAAUGUUUUUCUGAGUAAACAAGCAAAUAAAUUAAAACUUUCAACAACGGAUCUCUUGGCUCUGGCAUCGAUGAAGAACGCAGCGAAAUGCGAUAAGUAAUGUGAAUUGCAGAAUUCAGUGAAUCAUCGAAUCUUUGAACGCACAUUGCGCCCGCCAGUAUUCUGGCGGGCAUGCCUGUUCGAGCGUCAUUACAACCCUCAGGCCCCCGGGCCUGGCGUUGGGGAUCGGCGGAAGCCCCCUGUGGGCACACGCCGUCCCUCAAAUACAGUGGCGGUCCCGCCGCAGCUUCCAUUGCGUAGUAGCUAACACCUCGCAACUGGAGAGCGGCGCGGCCAUGCCGUAAAACACCCAACUUCUGAAUGUUGACCUCGAAUCAGGUAGGAAUACCCGCUGAACUUAAGCAUAUCAAUAANNCGGAGGAA
rnacentral:rRNA from 1 species